UUUUUUAACAGAGGAAAACUGGAGUGUGCCCUUUUUGGAGAGUAUGUUCAGAUUGUAUUGGACUACCUUAGUUCUAAUCCUUUGGAAAAGCCUGUUGUGGUUCUCCAGCUUGCAAAGCUUAAGUCAUUUAGAGGUAAGAAUGUUCUUCAGAAUGUAAUGAAAGCAUCGAGGAUUAUCUUUAAUCCUGAGGUUGCUGAAGCUGAAUCUUUGAUGGACCGCAUAUCUGGCCUUAAUAUGCAGGCCAAUCAACCUGUGGGGCAUAUUAUUUCUCCUAAUCCUUCUGUUCCAAUUUUUGAAGAUUUUAUGAACAACUAUCCUCAGAAAACUAUAUGUGCUUUGAAUGAAACUACUGA